AGUUGAUAUGGCUCAGGACGACGCUGGCGGCGUGCUUCAUACAUGCAAGUCGAACGAGAAACUGACUUCGGUCAGUGGAAAGUGGCGGACGGGUGAGUAAAAUGUAGAGAAUCUGCCCUAGAGAGUGGGACAACAGAGGGAAACUUCUGCUAAUACCGCAUAUGCGCGUAGCUGAGAUGCUAUUCGUGAAAACUCCGGUGCUCUGGGAUGAGUCUGCAUCUGCUUAGCUAGUUGGCGGUGUAAUGGACCACCAAGGCGACGAUCAGUAGCUGGUUUGAGAGGAUGAUCAGCCACAAUGGGACUGAGACACGGCCCAUACUCCUACGGGAGGCAGCAGUAGGGAAUUUUGCGCAAUGGGGGAAACCCUGAACCGCAGCAACGCCGCGUGAUUGAAGAAGCCCUUCGGGGUGUAAAGAUCUGUCAGUGGGGACGAAACUUGACGGUACCCACAGAGGAAGCAUCGGCUAACUCCGUGCCAGCAGCCGC
rnacentral:rRNA from 1 species